ACAAGAUAAAAGUUUCAAUUUACCAUUAAGAAAACACUUGUGUAGAAUGGUAAAGCAAAUUAUGAAAUUUGAUUAUUUUUAUAUUAUAAGAAAAUAAUUAAAAUGCAUGACUGGUAAAGUAAGAAGUUGUUAAAAUUUUGUUCAUUUUCAUACUACAUAGCAAAUACGAGAAGUAGCUGGAUUAAGUAAUAAGUCAGAAACUUGAUGAAAAAAG
rnacentral:misc_RNA from 1 species